UGAGGAAUUUUGGACAAUGGGGGAAACCCUGAUCCAGCGACGCCGCGUGGAGGACGAAGGUCUUCGGAUUGUAAACUCCUUUUGUCCGGGAAUAAGAAAUCUGUAGAAAUACGGAGAGUGAAUGUACCGGAUGAAUAAGCCACGGCUAACUUCGUGCCAGCAGCCGCGGUAAUACGAAGGUGGCAAGCGUUACUCGGAAUUACUAGGCGUAAAGCGCAGGUAGGUGGUUGUGUAAGUCCGCUGUGAAAGCUCCCGGCUUAACUGGGAGAGGUCAGCGGAUACUGCAUAGCUAGAGUGUAGGAGAGGGUACUGGAAUUCCCGGUGUAGCGGUGAAAUGCGCAGAGAUCGGGAGGAACACCAAAGGCGAAAGCAGGUACCUGGACUAUUACUGACACUCAGCUGCGAAAGCUAGGGGAGCAAACAGG
rnacentral:rRNA from 1 species